CAGCCGCCGCGGGAAUACGAAGGGGGCUAGCGUUGUUCGGAAUUACUGGGCGUAAAGCGCACGUAGGCGGAUAUUUAAGUCAGGGGUGAAAUCCCGCAGCUCAACUGCGGAACUGCCUUUGAUACUGGGUAUCUUGAGUAUGGAAGAGGUUAGUGGAAUUGCGAGUGUAGAGGUGAAAUUCGUAGAUAUUCGCAGGAACACCAGUGGCGAAGGCGGCUAACUGGUCCAUAACUGACGCUGAGGUGCGAAAGCGUGGGGAGCAAACAGGAUUAGAUACCCCCGUAGUCCCUGUCUCUUAUAC
rnacentral:rRNA from 1 species